AUGAACUCUUAGAUUGUCGCUGGUCAAGUUAAUUCUUGGCAUCGUUCACAUCUUUGUUAUCCAACUACACACACUUGUGAACCUAUUGUAGAUCGCAAGAUCUAUGUCUUUCAUCUCACACAUUUUGAAUGGUGCUCUUGGAUGCAUCUUGUGGAUUAUUUGUAACAAAGUAAUCAUAAAAA
rnacentral:misc_RNA from 1 species